CGGACAUUGUUUAAACGUGGAAU
rnacentral:siRNA from 1 species